CAGAUGUGUAAGAGACUCGUGUAAGAGGCAGGACCUGCUUGGGUCUCCUGAAGAACUGAAUUCUCUGUCUAUCAGUGGAUGUCCAGAGUGAGAACCUUCCCACCUCCAAAACAAGCGUAUCAAAAACAACCACUGUGGGCUUCCCUGGUGGCGCAGUGGUUAAGAAUCCACCUGCCAAUGCAGGGGACACAGGUUUGAGCCCUGGUCUGGGAAGAUCCCACAUGCCGUGGAACAACUAAGCCCGUGAGCCACAGCUACUGAGCCCGCGUGCUGCAACUACUGAAGCCUGCGCGCCUACAGCCCAUACUCCACAACAAGAGAAGCCACUGCAAUGAGAAGCCCGCGCACCGCAAGGAAGAGUAGCCCCCGCUCGCUGCAACUAGAGAAAGUCUGCGUACAGCAACGAAGACCCAACGCAGCCAAAAAUAAAUAAAUAAAUAAUAAAUAAAUUUAUAUAUAAAAAAAAAUCAUGUCACUCCCCUGCUUAUAACUCUCAGUGGCUCCUGCUGUAAGAAGGCCACACCCCAAACUCCUGGCCAGACCCCUGAAGCCCUUCACAGUCUGCCCUCUUCAUCCCUCCGUCCCCUCUCCUCCCCCUGCCCUCGCUUCACCCUGUCUGUGCUCCUCCUGUUCACCCAGCUCUACCCUUACUCUCCUCCUCGUUCAAACACACCAAGGUCACUCCAGCACUUGCUGACCCCUCUGUCUCCCUCUACCUGGACGGCUGUCCUCCAGAUUGUCACUUGGAUCCUACCAUUGUUCAAAUGUCAAAUCCUCAGAAAAGCCUUCUCCAUCCAUCUUAUUCAAAAUAGCACCCAUAGGGACUUCCCUGGUGGCACAGUGUUAAGAAUGCAGGGGACAUGGGUUCAAGCCCUGGUCUGGGAAGAUCCCACAUGCCGUGCAACUAAGCCCGUGCACCACAACUACUGAGCCUGUGCUCUAGAGCACGUGAGCCACAACUACUGAGCCCAUACACCACAACUACUGAAGCCUGCACGCCUAGAGCCUGUGCUCCGCAACAAGAGAAGCCACCACAAUGAGAAGCCCACGCACUGCAACAAAGAGUAGCCUCCGCUCGCCACAACUGGAGAAAGCCCGCGUGCAGCAACGAAGACCAAACGCAGCAAAAUAAAUAAAUAAACUAAUUAAU